rnacentral:rRNA from 1 species
GACGAACGCUGGCGGCGUGCCUAAUACAUGCAAGUAGAACGCUGAAGGAGGAGCUUGCUUCUCUGGAUGAGUUGCGAACGGGUGAGUAACGCGUAGGUAACCUGCCUGGUAGCGGGGGAUAACUAUUGGAAACGAUAGCUAAUACCGCAUAAGAGUAGAUGUUGCAUGACAUUUGCUUAAAAGGUGCAAUUGCAUCACUACCAGAUGGACCUGCGUUGUAUUAGCUAGUUGGUGGGGUAACGGCUCACCAAGGCGACGAUACAUAGCCGACCUGAGAGGGUGAUCGGCCACACUGGGACUGAGACACGGCCCAGACUCCUACGGGAGGCAGCAGUAGGGAAUCUUCGGCAAUGGACGGAAGUCUGACCGAGCAACGCCGCGUGAGUGAAGAAGGUUUUCGGAUCGUAAAGCUCCGUUGUAAGAGAAGAACGAGUGUGAGAGUGGAAAGUUCACACUGUGACGGUAUCUUACCAGAAAGGGACGGCUAACUACGUG